AUGCCAUGAUGAGGACACCUUCUGAGCAGUUCUUUGAAUUUUUUCCAAUCCUCAUACAAACUCUCAUCUUCAAGUUAAUAGAAAGAAGUAAUCUCAUUCCGUAAUUU
rfam:Citrus clementina cultivar Clemenules unplaced genomic scaffold scaffold_3, whole genome shotgun sequence.